rnacentral:rRNA from 1 species
GCAACUCGAUUCCAUGAAGUCGGAAUCGCUAGUAAUCGUGGAUCAGAAUGCCACGGUGAAUACGUUCCCGGGCCUUGUACACACCGCCCGUCACACCAUGGGAGUGGGUUGCAAAAGAAGUAGGUAGCUUAACCUUCGGGAGGGCGCUUACCACUUUGUGAUUCAUGACUGGGGUGAAGUCGUAACAAGGUAACCGUAGGGGAACCUGCGGUUGGAUCACCUCCUUACCUUAAAGAAGC